rnacentral:rRNA from 1 species
AUUGAACGCUGGCGGCAGGCCUAACACAUGCAAGUCGAGCGGAUGAAGGGAGCUUGCUCCUGGAUUCAGCGGCGGACGGGUGAGUAAUGCCUAGGAAUCUGCCUGGUAGUGGGGGAUAACGUCCGGAAACGGGCGCUAAUACCGCAUACGUCCUGAGGGAGAAAGUGGGGGAUCUUCGGACCUCACGCUAUCAGAUGAGCCUAGGUCGGAUUAGCUAGUUGGUGGGGUAAAGGCCUACCAAGGCGACGAUCCGUAACUGGUCUGAGAGGAUGAUCAGUCACACUGGAACUGAGACACGGUCCAGACUCCUACGGGAGGCAGCAGUGGGGAAUAUUGGACAAUGGGCGAAAGCCUGAUCCAGCCAUGCCGCGUGUGUGAAGAAGGUCUUCGGAUUGUAAAGUACUUUAAGUUGGGGGGAAGGGCAGUAAGUUAAUACCUUGCUGUUUUGACGUUACCAACAGAAUAAGCACCGGCUAACUUCGU